GGGCAUACUUGUAGACCUUGCCUGACUGUCCCCAUGGCCAGGCAGGGGGGGGACAGUGUAUGCAAGAGUAAUAUGGAGUUUGUGCCAGUUCAAGCCAGCUUAAUCAAUGGCUGGAUAAAUUGCAGUACUCCAGCAUUC